CUUUUUCCUUCGACUUCUGGAGUGACAGCAUCAAAUGCUCGGGUAAUAAAGUUAUAAUUUUAAAUCUUAAAAAUUUCCUUAAAUCCUCGUGGAGCUUUAGGAAUUUUGUUUAAAAUUAUCCUUCUCAGGAUCUAAUCCAUGGUAAAUUUUUGACCAAUAUCGAGGAUCACCAGAAACCCAUUUUAGCCACACCUCGUGGACAGUUCCACACAAUCGCCAUACCUGUGGCAUUGAUGGAGUAAACCAUCCUUAUUAAGACCUCCAUAGUUCUCGAAAUUUUAGAGAAAAGGCUCUUGGAACCGUUUUAACGCAACCCGUAAGGCACGUUUCCAAGAAUCCUUCUCUCUAAGAAGAGUUUGUUUGGGGUAUAAAAACAUUCUAUGAAUGAUCCCACCCAAAUUGCC